CCAAUAGCGUAUAUUAAAGUUGUUGCAGUUAAAAAGCUCGUAGUUGAAUUUCGGGGUUAGUAGGUUGGUCAUGCCUCUGGUAUGUACUGGUCUCACUGAUUCCUCCUUCCUGAUGAGCCGUAAUGCCAUUAAUUUGGUGUUGCGGGGAAUCUGGACUGUUACUUUGAAAAAAUUAGAGUGUUUAAAGCAAGCUAACGCUUGAAUACAUUAGCAUGGAAUAAUGAAAUAGGACGUUCGAUCCUAUUUUGUUGGUUUCUAGGAUUGACGUAAUGAUUAAUAGUGAUAGUUGGGGGCAUUAGUAUUCAAUUGUCAGAGGUGAAAUUCUUGGAUUUAUUGAAGACUAACUACUGCGAAAGCAUUUGCCAAGGAUUUUUUCAUUAAUCAAGAACGAAAGUUAGGGGAUCGAAGACGAUCAGAUACCGUCGUAGUCUUAACCAUAAACUAUGCCGACUAGGGAUCGGAUGAUGUUAAUUUUUUAAUGACUCAUUCGGCGCCUUACG
rnacentral:rRNA from 1 species